rnacentral:lncRNA from 1 species
CAUGGGAUAGAUAACUUCUCUUACAUUUUGUAAACAUUAGCUCUUAUUACUACAGUCCUACAGCAAACAAGGCAGGAUAGCAAGGCUUUUACUGAGCAGCUCCGCUGCUGGCAGUGUACCAUGGUUCUAUCUGAAUGAACAAAAGCCCUUUGACUUCCACCUGUUAGAGAGGAGUCUUCUGGCUGCUGGAGGCUGGGCUGGUGGGUGCUCAGGUGACUCUUACAACUACUUGAGAAGCAGCCAGCAGCAGGUCUUCUGAGCUUUGACUCUCAUUCAUAGUGAGCUUCUAACCCAAUGAAUCAAGUGCUCUGGCUAGAGAAGCAAUUUCAGGCACUUCCAGCACGGGGCUGGCGAGCAGAGGGGAGAGGAGCGCUGGCGAAGCCUGGAAUGACGCUGCCAGCGUGGGGAAAUUGAGAGGCAACUUUUAAUUUGAAGGAAGUUCAGCUUGCGAAGGAGGUGCCGCCGAGAUCCUCUGGUCCGGGAGUUGCUCUGCUGAAGCAGCAGAGGGAUUGUAAAACGUUUCAGCUUGCAGAGGCCUUGCUGCUGUCUCCCUCUUCUCUUGCCAUAAGCGUCGUGUCUGGCUGGCAGCUGGGAAGAGGAAAAGUUGGCUGCUGUUAUCUGCCACCUGAUUUCCAUGAAUUCCAGCAUUAUACAGUUUGUCUCCUACAGCUUGCUCUACUGAUGAAUCAUGGGUCUGCAUCAAUAAAUCCAGCUUUAUGCAGAGCUUUGAAACAGGGAGAACUGCAGUCUAUAAGUACUUUUCAAAAUAGGUAAGCAGAAGUGAUUUUAUACUCAGAAAUAGCUUUGGUAUGAAGACGACUUUCAGGUCCGUUGAACCUCCGAAUAAUCAGGGGAGGAGGUAGUUGCAAGCUGAUGCGUGGCUUUGGGUUUUCCCUGUGCUUGGGGCAGACCUAUUUUUGGAGUUUCAUCAGGGAUCUAUUGAGCUUUAUAGUCCUGUAUGGUAGGAAAGAGUAGUGUGGAGUCCCUUAAAAGACCUGAGCACCACUGUCUCGGAGCUUCGCAUGUCCUCUCCUGUCCUGAAGAAGUCACUUAUACAGCUAAGCACAGUCUUCAUCCUGAACUUGUUCAUCUGGCUGCAAGUUAAAGGCCACCUCAAGUCCACUUUGUAAAUACGAGUAGUAGAAAGGUA